UGCCAGCAGCUCACUGGCACAGCAGUUCCGACUGUGAGCCGCUGGGAGCGGCUUGCCGGAGAUAAAGAAUUAAGUUAUAACUGCCUCUAGAUCUUUCCAGGAAUAUUUCUGUUUUUCUGUUCGGAUGUACUCCAUGUGGCGUAGAUCAUCCCAAACAUGAAAAAAAAUGAAAGCAGCCCACCUUCUAAAUGAUCCAAAGUGUGCCAACGAGGAUGUAGAACCCUCGCCUCAUAUUAUUUGACCAGCAAAUCUUCCAAACGCACGAUGGUGUCUCAAUGAGAACUAAGAGUUGAAGAUCCGAGUCAUGAGACUGUAUGACAGUAAAUAAAUGAAAAAGGGAAACACAAAGAUAAAAAACCAAAACAACAAAAAUAAUGCUCUUAUUCACAAACACAAUAUACCGGUGAGCAAAUUUAAAAAGUCAAUACGUAUCUCUAUGGCCUCACUAUAAUAGAUAUAUCUAUAUUUAUAAACAUAAUAAACAUAUCUUAGUAUUGAAAUAUACAUAUAUCAACUUCUCAAAAUGAUUAAUCCACAUUAGAGCGGCAACACAAUGUUAAAAUUUCAGUCUGCAGCUAAAAGGAUAUGCAUCACCAUCAUCACAAAAUGAAAACAAAAGACUUGUUCAACAAGUUCCGCAAUCCGACCUGGCACUGAACCCAAGACCGUGUAAAACAGAAAUAAAAGAAAAACUUAUAUCUAGUGCCAUUCCAUUUCACUGGAAAUCUUGUAAAAAAUACACAAUAGCCUAUACACAUAGCAACUCCCACUUACCCGCAAACUACGUGACAUACCAUCUACCAACACAUACAAGCACACACUAUCACACACUUGUCUACGGAGAGGUAAACUACGUGACAUACCAUCUACCAACACAUACAAGCACACACUAUCACACACUUGUCUACGGAGAGGUGCAGAGUCUAAAUACUAAAUAACACACUAGACAAACAUGACAUUUUGCUGGUGUUGAACCAGUACAACAUCAAAAUAAAAACACACACAUUUGGCUAACAAUACACACGUUUAGCUAACAACUGAUUCUCCAUGAGCCACUAACAGCCCAGCUUGAUCACUUGCAGGCCUACCCAGACCCAAUCACUGAGGCUUGAAGAAAACGAAAAAAAAAAAAAA